GUUGAACGCUAGCUAUAGGCUUAACACAUGCAAGUCGAGCGGAGCGGCGGACGGGUGAGUAAUGCCUAGGAAUCUGACUGGUAGUGGGGGAUAACGACCGGAAACGUGCGCUAUAACCACCUACUAUCCGAUACGCCUAGGUCGGAUUAGCUAGUUGGUGGGGUAAAGGCCUACCAAGGCGACGAUCCGUAACUGGUCUGAGAGGAUGAUCAGCCACACUGGAACUGAGACACGGUCCAGACUCCUACGGGAGGCAGCAGUGGGGAAUAUUGGACAAUGGGCGAAAGCCUGAUCCAGCCAUGCCGCGUGUGUGAAGAAGGUCUUCGGAUUGUAAAGCACUUUAAGUUGGGAGGCGUUACCAACAGAAUAAGCACCGGCUAACUACGUGCCAGCAGCCGCGGUAAUUC
rnacentral:rRNA from 1 species